UUUUUUUCAAAAACAUGGCUUAAUUGCAGAUUUAUAUUAAGUCUUACCUGCUCAAUGAUAUUUAUUAUUAAAUAGCCGCAGUAUUUUGACUGUGCAAAGGUAGCAUAAUCAUUUGUCUUUUAAUUGGGGACUUGUAUGAAUGGUUUGAUGAGAUAUUACCUUUCUUUAUAUAAAGAAAUCUAAUUUAAUAUUUUAGUUAAAAAGCUAAAAUGUUUUUAUAGGACGAGAAGACCCUAUAGAAUUUUAUAUUAUUAUUUAUACUUUAUUAUUGGGUAUUACAUAAUUAGUUUAUAAGAUAAUAUUUUGUUGGGGAGACAGGGAAAUUUAUUUAACUUUCUUUAUAUUCUUAAUUAUUUAUUUAUAUAUUUAUGAUCCUAUUUUAAGGAUAACAAGAUUAAAUUACCUUAGGGAUAACAGCGUAAUUCUUUUGGAGAGUUCUUAUCGAUAGAAGAGUUUGCGACCUCGAUGUUGGAUUAAAAUAAGUAUUAGGUGAAGGUGCUUAAUUACUAGGUCUGUUCGACCUUUAAAAUUUUACA
rnacentral:rRNA from 1 species